AACACUUUCUCUGAAUAUUUCAUGUGUGCGACGACUUCGAGGAUCAAACCCCGACCGCCUGCGUGGAAGGCCGAAGUAUAAACCACUUGACCAAUCCGCCCGACUGUUGGAAUGAAUAAGAUAGACAAGUCAUAGAACGUGACAUAGUACCACGUAUACAAUAUGGACGACCUGAUAACAUAUCGCGCAAGGAUUGGCAUGUUUUCAAUGAUUCGUGCUUUAA